rnacentral:pre_miRNA from 1 species
UUUUUAUUAUAAGUAUAUCCCAAGCAAUGUUUGGAAUAUACUUAUACUAAAA